rnacentral:rRNA from 1 species
UACUAGAGUAGCACUCGCAUAUCAAUAAGCGGAGGAAAAGAAACUAACAAGGAUUCCCCUAGUAACGGCGAGUGAAGCGGGAAGAGCUCAAAUUUGAAAUCUUAAAGGGUUUCCCUUUACGAAUUGUAGUUUAAAGAAGUGUUUUCUGUUGAGGUUUUGGUAAAAGUUCUUUGGAAUAGGACAUCAUAGAGGGUGAGAAUCCCGUAUUUGACCUUUACUUUCAACUUUGUGAUACACUUUCAAAGAGUCGGAUCGUUUGGGAAUGCAGUCCAAAAUAGGUGGUAAAUUUCAUCUAAAGCUAAAUAUUGGCGAGAGACCGAUAGCGAACAAGUACCGUGAGGGAAAGAUGAAAAGAACUUUGAAAAGAGAGUUAAACAGUACGUGAAAUUGUCAAAAGGGAAGCGUUUGACACCAGUGUUGUUUUUCUGAAAAUCAAUUAAAGAACUGUUUAUGCUAAGCUGUUUAGACUUUAUCAGCUAUCUGUUUAGUUUUGAGCUUUUCUUUAAUGCACUUUUCAGUUAACAAGUCAACAUCAAUUUCUUUUGCUGUAAAAAAGCUUGAGGAAGGUGGCUUGAGAUUCGUCUUAAGUGUUUAUAGCCUCUUGCCUAUGCAGUCGGAGAGAUUGAGGUCUGCAGCGUAGAUCCUUCGGGGCUAAAUGCAUUUGUGCUAAGUUAUAGCAUUUUAUAGACAACUUGUUGACUAUGAUUUGUCUUGUAGCUUACUCGCUUAUGUUAUUUUACCUACGCUUAGGAUGUUGAACUACUGAGACAUAGA